rnacentral:rRNA from 1 species
GAAUUCGCCCUUAGAGUUUGAUCCUGGCUCAGGACGAACGCUGGCGGCGUGCCUAACACAUGCAAGUCGAACGGACUGAUACCCUUCGGGGUUGAAAGUUAGUGGCGAACGGGUGAGUAACGCGUGAGGAACCUGCCUUUCAGAGGGGGACAACAGUUGGAAACGACUGCUAAUACCGCAUGAUACAGUAGGAUCGCAUGAUUUUACUGUCAAAGAUUUUAUCGCUGAAAGAUGGCCUCGCGUCUGAUUAGAUAGUUGGUGGGGUAACGGCCUACCAAGUCGACGAUCAGUAGCCGGACUGAGAGGUUGAACGGCCACAUUGGGACUGAGAUACGGCCCAGACUCCUACGGGAGGCAGCAGUGGGGAAUAUUGGGCAAUGGGCGCAAGCCUGACCCAGCAACGCCGCGUGAAGGAAGAAGGCUUUCGGGUUGUAAACUUCUUUUACCAGGGACGAAGGACGUGACGGUACCUGGAGAAAAAGCCACGGCUAACUCCGUGCCAGCAGCCGCGGUAAUACGGAGGAUGCGAGCGUUAUCCGGAUUUAUUGGGUUUAAAGGGUGCGUAGGCGGAUGAUUAAGUCUGUGGUGAAAGCGUGCGGCUCAACCGUACCGAGCCAUGGAAACUGGUUGUCUUGAGUGUAAACGAGGUAGGCGGAAUGUGACAUGUAGCGGUGAAAUGCUUAGAUAUGUCACAGAACUCCGAUUGCGAAGGCAGCUUACCAGCAUACAACUGACGCUGAGGCACGAAAGCGUGGGUAUCAAACAGGAUUAGAUACCCUGGUAGUCCACGCAGUAAACGAUGAAUACUAGCUGUUGGCGAUAUAAGGUCAGCGGUACAGCGAAAGUGUUAAGUAUUCCACCUGGGGAGUACGCCGGCAACGGUGAAACUCAAAGGAAUUGACGGGGGCCCGCACAAGCGGAGGAACAUGUGGUUUAAUUCGAUGAUACGCGAGGAACCUUACCCGGGCUUGAAAGUUAGUGACGAACCUUGAAAGAGGUUUUCCCUUCGGGGCACGAAACUAGGUGCUGCAUGGUUGUCGUCAGCUCGUGCCGUGAGGUGUCGGCUUAAGUGCCUUAACGAGCGCAACCCCUGUUGUUAGUUGCCAGCAUGUAAAGAUGGGAACUCUAGCAAGACUGCUACUGUAAGGUAGAGGAGGGUGGGGAUGACGUCAAAUCAGCACGGCCCUUACGUCCGGGGCGACACACGUGUUACAAUGGUCGGUACAGAGGGUUGCUACCACGUGAGUGGAUGCUAAUCUCAUAAAACCGGUCUCAGUUCGGAUUGUAGUCUGCAACUCGACUACAUGAAGCUGGAAUCGCUAGUAAUCGUGAAUCAGAAUGUCACGGUGAAUACGUUCCCGGGUCUUGCACACACCGCCCGUCA